GAGCAUAGCUCAGUUGGUUCAGAGCAUCUGCCUUACAAGCAGAGGGUCAUAGGUUCGACUCCUAUUGUUCCC
rnacentral:tRNA from 1 species